ensembl:lncRNA
CCCUCCUCUUGACAUGUAUGACAGUGUGCUGUGCAGCUCUGCUGGGAUAACUGCCAGAUUACACGCUGUAGUGUUUCUAUCCUGUAAUAUUAACCAGGAGAGCUUACAGCAUCAAGGCCCACUGGAGACACACACACACACCCCAGCUGAAACAUGGAGACUAGUGCUGUAAUGUGGCUCCUUUGAUCUCCCCUAGCACUCAUAAUUACCCCGGUUACACACACACACACACACACUUAUAUAUAUAUAUAUAUGAACUAAUAAGGCAGGGCAAACCAUGAAAUGGCGGGAGUCUGUAAAUGUUCAUUUACACCACAAGUGAGAGAGAAGUGAGAGAGAAAUUCUGAACCAGGGAUGUUGACUGGUGAAGAUGUUGUGUUAAUAAACACACACACUGUCUCUCUACAAUAACAUUGGUUGACAGUGUUUCCUUGUCUCCAUUGGCAUAGGGGAGGAGAAGAACACUGCUAUGGAUGUAAACAAACAUCUAUAUGCCAUAGUAUAACAGCUGAAGAUGCUAUUGAUGUUUGUUUCCCUGUUAUUAUGUUCCCUCCUAGUGACUUCUGUUGUAAGACAGGACGUAGAGAUGUCAGAGCACCGAUAGAUCCUGUAUCCCGUUGCCUUUCUGGCCUCCCCGCCACCUAGAUUUCAUUUAUUCCUACCUCCCUCUUUCUUCCCUUCGUCCUCCAAUGAAGAAAAAAAUUGACAUUUAUGGGGGAGAUAGAUUUCUGGAAUCAGCUCUUAUAGUAUAGAUUCGUACACAGGUAAUAGUUUAGUAUUUAAUAGUGAAGUAUUAAACAGUGAAAUUAUAUUUUAGUAAGUGGAUAUGUGCAUUGUCUAACUUUGGACCACCCAGUAGCUGCCCUGUUGGGGUGAAUAGCAUUACUGUAUUCCUGUAAAACCAUUAGAAAGCUAUUAUAGUUCACACACACGUGCACGUGCACGUGCACGUGCACACGCACACAGACACACACAAACACACAUGAAAAAACACAAAUGCACACACAGUGAGCACUUAGACUUCCCCCCGUGUGUUAACCUCAGCCCACCCAGUCGCCUCCUCUCCAAACAGAGAAACACAGUCUGUGGGUUUGAGGGUUUGGCUGGGACAAUACAUACUCAUUAACUACAGUAUGAUCAGUGUGUGUGUGUGUGUGUGUGCGUGCAUGUUUGCCCUCGUGUGUGCUUGAGUGUGAGCUUGUGCAUGUAGUGGUGCGGGCACUCUACCGUAGUGGUGAACUUCAAUCCAAACUAUCUUCAGGUUUUUUUUAAUUCAGUGGAUGUCAGAAGCUGUGAGUGGGAUUGACCAGUCUGAGGUCCUACUGUGAUUUUUAGAUUGCUGUUGUCAAGCUGUGCUUCUCAAUCACACCCAGCCUUUAAAGUGUGGCAACGGUCCACCGUCUAGCACCAUCUAUCUCUAACAACACACCCAUAUUACAAAUCAAAUAUACACACAGGCCUACAGUACAUAUAGUCCUUUAUACAUGCGGUCUGUAUACACAUAUAGGCUACAGCGAUACGUACAUACACACAAACAGGGGCUUUAUAAAAUACAUUUGAUUGAUUGACAGCUGGGUAAAUGCUGUACACAGGUCGAGAUAACACGCGGAGUGAUGAAAAUGCUACUAACAAUACUAAUUAAGAAAAGCUUAAUAAAUGCUAUUCUCCCCAAAAGAUGUGUGCAUAUACAAUGCUUACUUCUAGGACUGUAGGCUAUUGGGAUGUAGCCAAUGUCUCCAUAAGAUCAGUUCAAUGCGGUUUCAAAACUUUUCUUUAGGUUGCUGCUCCACUAAUCUGGUAUGCAAAAAGAACCAAAUAUCAGCUUUGUUCUCAGUUUUCAACAGAAAGUUGAAGACACAUUGGGACAUGUCUGGAAUUUUCUGUCACUGCGUCUUUAAAAAGUAAUCAAUGACAUCCAGCGAGACACAUAGAGAAACUAAGACGAGACUCAAAAACAUCACAUAAAAAGGUCAAUAAUGAAUUAAAUAACAUGACAAAACUUACCCAAAUCAACCAUAGUUUAAAAUCCUUUGUGCCUACCUUCCUCCCUGUCUCUCAUAAGCCCCAUCAAUUACACAUCCUUUUAAACUAGGAUUUCAAUAGAAUAUUAGCAUUCAAUGUAUAGCAAAAUACCAUAGCCAGAGUGUUUACAUCUAUCAAUGUGUGAGCAGCUAGCAACACGGCAUGGCGUCCUCUCGCAGGUUGAGGUGCAUAACAAUCCAGCUAAUUGGACAGGUGUUAACAGCCAUUAUCAUAUUAAAACGUCAUGUGAGAUGAUUAGCCCGAAACAGCAAGAUACCCAGAACCCGCCAAGGAUUAUCCAUCUGUUAAAGAUGGAAAAUAGGGAUUUAGGUCUGUCAGAAUGGAGAGAUAGAAAGAUGAGGGGAUGUGGAGAGAAGGAAGAGGGGGAGAGAGCUUAGAGGGAAAGCUCCUUCAGUGCUCAGUAAGCCACAGACAGACAGCUCCCUGUCACAGACUCCCUGUAGACUGCUUCUGCACCCCGAGGUGUGGGCUUGGUGUGUAAAUGUGUGUGGGCUUGUGUGCGUUUCCACACCACCUGCCUCUCUCCCCAGCUGUUAUUGGACGAGGCAGCUUGGCCAGGAGAUAGACCCUCAAUGAAUGGAUCAUUAUUGAUUUCACCUAAAAGGCAUGUAGGACCAAUUCAACUACUCACUGCAACAUCAUUCCUCUCUUCUAGCUCUGUUUCUACCAUGAGCACGCACACAAUCAUCCACUUUCACACUCUCUCUCUCCUCACACACACACACACCCUCUCCUCCCCCCAGGCCCUCCUAAAUGACUCUGUGAAGUGGGGUGAGCCUCUUCAGUCCGUGAAGAUGGUACAACACACGCCAAAUAUCCUCCUAUCGAUCGCCACCCCUAAAGGUCAACGAGGGAGAGUUAACACCAAACACUCUGGUGAGCUAGUGACUAGAUGAGUUGACACACACACACACACACACACACACUAUAAUACACAGCGCUACAGUCAGGCAAGAUAAUGAAACUUAGCUGACAGAGACAACGGCGAACACUCGUUUGUGUCGACGUUACAAAGACAAAUGAAGUCUCUCUCUCUUUCACUCCCUUUAACAUGCUACGUGCACACGUGUAGAGAUGGGCAAAAGAUACAGCAAAAUGAAUCUUGUUACAAAUACAGGAUACUCUUAAAACCAUUGGAUCAAACUAAAAUAGAAAAUACUUUUGCAAAGAAUUGUAUUUAGAUCAAAUGGAGGUAUUUUGUCAUUUCUGAAAUACAAAAUGCAUUUGCAAGUACAUGCCUUCACUACAACAACAUUGUAAUGGUAACAAAAGUGGUUAGUGGUUAGAGCGUUGGACUACUAACCGAAAGGUUGCAAGUUCAAAUCCCUGAGCUGACAAGGUACAAAUCUGUCGUUCUGUUCCUAGGCUGUCAUUGAAAAUAAGAAUUGGUUCUUAACUGACUUGCCUAGUUAAACGAAGGUAAAAUACAAAAUAUGACUGGGAUAUGUAGAGAGAUAGAAAGUUAAGGGGGAGAAAACUUAGAGGGAAAUCUACCUCAGUUUUGUCUGUUAAAUGACGAAAAUGUUCAUCUAAAUGUGAAAAUGCCAUCAGACUUCUGAUACUGAGGGAAAGGGGGCCACCAAAUGGUGAACCGCAAACUUUUUUAUUUUUAUAGAAAAGUAUUUUGAGAUUAUAAAUUACAGGUCUCGAAAGUAUCUUGUUACAAAUCCCACUGGAUUGUAGCUCAGGCCGGUGAAAGACCAUUUACAAAAUAUAUUCGGUCACUUUUCUAUACCAUUUAUUUGUAUUUGAAAUAUGUAUUUUGAAUACAUGUAACAGAAAUACUGCCCAAAGAGCAACAUGGACAGAGACAUCACGUCAUACUGCGUGCAGAGUACGUGUCUGACAGGAUGUCUGAGGACAUCACACUUCCAGUGGGGACCUAGUGAAGGUGACAUCAGGUUGUCAACUCUCUCUUUAAUUAGAUGACAUUACUCUUUGGGGAAGAAUGUGUGAAUAUCAGUCAAUUACAGCUGGGUAAUUAUAUGAGGUUGUCAAUGUCGUACUGCCAGUUCAUCUAUUUUAUACAUAAGACACCAUGAAUACAAUCACACGACAGUCUGGUGUAUCCCUAACCCUAUUUGUACUCACAAUCUAUUGGUAGGUCGAUCUGUUUUAACAAUUCCAUCCAGUUUUGCUUUCCUUACUCAUUGUGAUUGGUCCUUUGACAUGUAUAAAUGUCAUUCUGUUUUACUUCUGUAAAAACUCUGAUGAAAUCCAAAAGCCCAAACACGUUGGUUCUAAUUUUAGUAAGAAAGACGCUUUUAAUUUAAUUCUGUUGUCCUCCCAGUGUUGCUGAAUCUCCUCUCUACUUCAGUACCCCUAACCAUAAC